UUUCGGUCCCAGUUGCAAACUUGAGUCCCAGCCAGAAAGAUGUUUUUCACGAACUGCAAGGGCUUUUGGGGGACACAGUUUUUUCCAAAUCAAAGAGGAAACCUGGUAGUCUGCUAGGUUCUGCGAAUUCCUAUGCAUCAGAAGCUACAUUCGAAACCAAGCCUUAUAAACUUCACAAGCUAGAGAAUGGACCGUCCACUAGUGUUACUGUCACCAAGGAGGAUGCCCUCAAGUUUUUCAGACAAAAGCAGACGAUCCGAAGGCUUGAGACCUCUGCCGGAAACCUUUACAAGGAGAAGAUCAUUCGGGGAUUUUGUCACUUGUACUCGGGACAGGUAAGCUUAAUUCUU